rnacentral:lncRNA from 1 species
AGAAACUUCUCCACCACCUGCCGAGACACUGUGGUUCCCUCUCAGCCCAGGGCUAGGAGGAAGACUCUUCCUAGGACUCCUUGCAUCUGCUGUACCCACCUAUAUUCUUCAGGGCUAUCUUUACAACUUACUAGCCAACCUUUUGCUACUCUAAUCUGCUAUUAAGGUUAAUGAUUAAACAUAUUAAACAUUUCCAUUCAAAUGACUGUGUGGUUUCUCUCUCCUAGUUGGACCCAGACUGACACUCUUGCCUGAGGGCACAGACCAGGGAGCAGCAAUCAAUACUGGACACCAGGCAGCUUCCACGCUUGACAGUGUUGCCAGACCCUCGCGUGGGCAGGAGGGCACAGCUCUCUAGGAGGCAACAUUAUCCACUGGAGCAUCUAGAAGCACAAGUACUUCCAUGAUGGUCAGAGGCAGAAGAGGAUGCGGAGCAGGUCAGUGGUGCCUGCUGGGUCUUGGGCAGCAUUUUAUACCUUAUGUUAUCUAUCCUGGCCACCUACUUCAUAACAGAAUAUAUAACAGAGAAAUACUUGAAUUUUUAUAAUAAUUGCAUUUAUUUCCAUUUGUGUUGUAAAAACUAGCUUGUUCUUAGCUUCCCAAACAGACAUAUUUAUAAAUAAUGUGUAUUAUAAACAUUUGGAAGAACAGACAGCAAAGUUGGACCAUUAGGCUAUUUCUUAACAAAAGAACUGUUUUAAUGGGGCGGGGCAGGAGGAGUAUUGUAGAAAACACUGAAGUUACGUCAGAGCUUCCAUAGAAAUGGAUUCUUUUCUCUGGUGAGGAAUGGGGCGGGGUGACUGAGGGCCCUCUGACUGCUCCAGGUCACAAAGAGAUGGGCUGAUUGUUCCACAGCCUCGGGCAUUGCACCCACCGGUUUCCAAGUCAGCCUCUAGCAUUGGGUGGUGUACAUGUUCAGAAAGGUUUCAAAUAUACUAUAUGAUGACCCACAUUUUGGCAUUUGCAUAACUGGCAGGUGCUGAGAUUGAAAUUUAAAAGGAGAUGGAUUUGGAUCCCAAAAGUUUGAUGUAAAAGAUUCCCCAGGGAUGUAAACAAACUUGCUUGUAUCAGGCCUCUCUGAUGGGCAGGAAACAGCAGGGGAGAAGAAAUCAGAAGCAAAAGGUACAAUUUAGAAGCAAAAACAUUAAGGGGACUGUAUCCAGUGGGUUACAUGGAGGUGGUUUCCCCACAACAGAUUGUUGACCUAUUUUCUCGAGGGUUAUUGUUUCUGUUUGGCUUGGGUCAGUAAUUCAGGAAGUGAUGUUUUCCUUUAUGGAAAAAAAAAAUCGAAAGUAAAAUAAGUGUUUUCCCAUGAUGAAGAUAAUGCUAAGUUUAAUGGCUUAUCCAGCAUUCGAAGUCCUCCCAGGUCCAGGUAGUGUGGUCAGCAGGGCAGCCUGUGGUUAGACCGCAUUCCUUUGAAGGAGCUGGUCCAGUAAUUGCUAGAGGAAAAGGGAAACAAAGAUGUCAAGUUGAGAUUCGGCAUCUGUGCACCACACACAUCACACCUGCUGGUGACGAGGCCAUUACCUUUUUGAAGACUUCGGCACGGAGUCUGUUACUUUGUAAGAUCACCCUUUUCCUUUGUUCUUCUUUUUUCUUUUUAACUUCCGGCAAGUUAUCAUAGAUUCUGAAACAGAUUCGGAAAACAUUUGGAAUGGUAGCUUGACAGCGUGCUCCCGCUGUGGGGCUGCAUCCUGUCUUGACGGCAGGCUCUUACAUUUCAAAGAGAAGAUCGCUGCUUAUGGGCUAGCUCACAACUGUAGGAUGCCAGGACGAAGGGCUUUCCUGACCAUACCCAGAACCUGCUGCAUAGCAGGGGAUGGCACCUUGUCCAGUGCUACGUGGGGCAAUGCAACAGGCAGAGUCCCACCAGGGGCAAAGCUGGAGAGGCCAGUUGCUUAUUUAGAAGUCAUUGUUUUUGUCCUUCCAUUCUCUAUGAUAAUUAAUGACUUAAUCGUAAAAUGAAGGAUUCUAAACCUACUGCUUUAGCAUUCUGAUUGUAAACUUGUUUCCAAAUACCUUCUUACCACUCAAUGUUUGCCUUCCUGUGACUUAGAAAAGGAACAGCAUAUAAAUAGAAAUAGCAGGACUUAUAAUACUGUAAUAAAACACAUAUAAGUGUGUGUGUUUUUACCUCUCAACCUAUUGCACUUUGAAUUAAGGGCCCAGGGGAUCUUCCUCUGGACACUUCUUUCCUACUUUCUAACAGCAACUUCAUGGACUGAUGCCAGUUAAUAUUUCAUUAUAAUCCACUGACACAGUGGAGUCACUGUAGCCUGAGUAUUUGGAUUGCUGUACGUGUGGCACUCAGCUAAAACAUCUUUCUCUCUCUCGUGUUUGAAAGCCAGAUAUGAUAUAGUGAAGAUGUUCCACCAUUAAAAUAAUAAGGACAAUGUAGAAAAAAUCAUGAUGACAAUCUUCGCAGGAGACAUCUUAGGUAUUGGACACUAGGCUUGAAUUACUUGACAUGAAUUAUUUCAUUUCAUAUUCACCACAGUUGGAAGAGGCAUAUCGUGUCCCACUGUUAUAUAAAUGAGAAACCCAAGCCCCAGUAAGAUUAGGAGACUUGUAUAAAGCCCCUAGGCUGGGAUUCAAACCUUGGUCUGUUUGACUCUUUCUAGACAACACUGUCACCCAACCAUAAUAUGGCAUCAAGCUACUUGUGAGAUCCGGGAAAUGCUUGUGCCUAGUACAGUGCCUAGCACUCUGUAGGCAUCAAGAUGGGUUGAAUGAAUGCAUGAAGAAAAGAACACAUAAUUGCCACAUUCAGGAGUGAUUCUAGGAAGGACUAGGAGAGAAAACUAUAAAGGAGUCAGUUAGAAAGUAGGCAUGUCUCAAAGCUCUGCAGUGGGAAUUUCCUCAGAUCCAUAUAGACUGAUCUUUCUGAUACUGACCAUCUCAAUCAGCUGGCAGAGUGGUUAAUAUUAGGUGUCAACUUGAUUGAAUUGAAGGAUGCCUGGAUGGCUGAUAAAGUCUUAUUUCUGGGUGUGUCUGUGAGGGUGUUGCCAGAGGAGAUUGGCAUUUCAGUUGGUGCACUGGAAGAGGAAGACCUACAUUCAGUGU